rnacentral:rRNA from 1 species
UCUGGGAUAGCCACCGGAAACGGUGAUUAAUACCGGAUACGACAACCGAUUGCAUGAUCUGGUUGUGGAAAGUUUUUCGGCCUGGGAUGUGCUCGCGGCCUAUCAGCUUGUUGGUGAGGUAAUGGCUCACCAAGGCUUCGACGGGUAGCCGGCCUGAGAGGGUGACCGGCCACACUGGGACUGAGACACGGCCCAGACUCCUACGGGAGGCAGCAGUGGGGAAUAUUGGACAAUGGGCGGAAGCCUGAUCCAGCAACGCCGCGUGAGGGAUGACGGCCUUCGGGUUGUAAACCUCUUUCAGCACAGACGAAGCGCAAGUGACGGUAUGUGCAGAAGAAGGACCGGCCAACUACGUGCCAGCAGCCGCGGUAAUACGUAGGGUCCGAGCGUUGUCCGGAAUUAUUGGGCGUAAAGGGCUCGUAGGCGGUCUGUCGCGUCGGGAGUGAAAACCAGGUGCUUAACACCUGGCCUGCUUUCGAUACGGGCAGACUAGAGGUACUCAGGGGAGAAUGGAAUUCCUGGUGUAGCGGGUGAAAUGCGCANAUAUCAGGAGGAACACCGGUGGCGAAGGCGGUUCUCUGGGAGUAUCCUGACGCUGAGGAGCGAAAGUGUGGGGAGCGAACAGGAUUAGAUACCCUGGUAGUCCACACCGUAGACGUUGGGCGCUAGGUGUGGGAUCCAUUCCACGGGUUCCGUGCCGCAGCUAACGCAUUAAGCGCCCCGCCUGG